rnacentral:misc_RNA from 1 species
UGAAGAUGAAAUCUAAAAAGAUAAAUGACUGCUUGAAUCGGUUCCAUGUUGCAAUACCAAAGCCACGUGACCAGAAAGAAAGGCCACCUUGUAUACCUCAGGCUGUUUUGGAAGCUAAAGCAAAGCAGGCAGCAGAGAAGGAGAAGAGAAAAACUGAAAAGGAUUUGGAAGAUGAAAAUGGUGGCGCAGGUGUAUACUCUGCAAGUUUGAGGAAGCAUUACAUCUUAGCGAAUGAGGAAUGGAAAGAAGAUGUAUUGCCAGAAAUUCU